rnacentral:piRNA from 1 species
AAUGCAUAUAUUUAUAGACUCAAGA